CUGCCCUCAAGCCCGGCUUGUGUGUUGGGUCUUCGUCCCCCCGCUCCAGGGGGGACGGGCCCGAAAGGCAGCGGCGGCACCGCGUCCGGUCCUCGAGCGUAUGGGGCUUUGUCACUCGCUCUGUAGGCCCGGCCGGCGCCUGCCGACCCCUCAACCAUUAUUUCUCCA
rnacentral:misc_RNA from 1 species